GGCCGCUUGGCGCAAUGGUUUAGCGUGUUUGGCUUCGAUGCUUACCUAACCAAAAGGUUGCAGGUUCGAGUCCUGCAGCGGUCA